AGAGUUUGAUCAUGGCUCAGGAUGAACGCUAGCUACAGGCUUAACACAUGCAAGUCGAGGGGCAGCAUGUUGGUUGCUUGCAACCAACGAUGGCGACCGGCGCACGGGUGAGUAACGCGUAUCCAACCUACCCUUGUCCAUCGGAUAACCCGUCGAAAGGCGGCCUAACACGAUAUGCGGUUCACAGCAGGCAUCUAACGUGAACGAAAUGUGAAGGAGAAGGAUGGGGAUGCGUCUGAUUAGCUUGUUGGCGGGGUAACGGCCACCAAGGCUACGGAUCAGUAGGGGUUCUGAGAGGAAGGUCCCCCANAUUGGAACUGAAGACACGGUCCAAACUCCUACGGGAGGCA
rnacentral:rRNA from 1 species